rnacentral:rRNA from 1 species
AAGGUUUCCGUAGGUGAACCUGCGGAAGGAUCAUUACCGAGUGCGGGCCCUCUGGGUCCAACCUCCCAUCCGUGUCUAUCUGUACCCUGUUGCUUCGGCGUGGCCACGGCCCGCCGGAGACUAACAUUUGAACGCUGUCUGAAGUUUGCAGUCUGAGUUUUUAGUUAAACAAUCGUUAAAACUUUCAACAACGGAUCUCUUGGUUCCGGCAUCGAUGAAGAACGCAGCGAAAUGCGAUAAUUAAUGUGAAUUGCAGAAUUCAGUGAAUCAUCGAGUCUUUGAACGCACAUUGCGCCCCCUGGUAUUCCGGGGGGCAUGCCUGUCCGAGCGUCAUUGCUGCCCUCAAGCACGGCUUGUGUGUUGGGCUUCCGUCCCUGGCAACGGGGACGGGCCCAAAAGGCAGUGGCGGCACCAUGUCUGGUCCUCGAGCGUAUGGGGCUUUGUCACCCGCUCCCGUAGGUCCAGCUGGCAGCUAGCCUCGCAACCAAUCUUUUUAACCAGGUUGACCUCGGAUCAGGUAGGGAUACCCGCUGAACUUAAGCAUAUCAU